AACGAACGUUGGCGGCGUGGAUUAGGCAUGCAAGUCGAACGAAUCCCGGUAGCAAUACUGGGGGAAGUGGCGAAAGGGGCAGUAAGGCAUGGGUAACCUACCCUGGGGACUGGGAUAGCCUCUCUAACGGGAGGGUAAUACCGGGCGAUGUAGCGGGGUGGCAUCAUUUUGCUACGAAAUGAAUUUCGCCUCGGGAGGGGCCCAUGUGAUAUUAGCUAGUUGGUGAGGUAACGGCUCACCAAGGCCAAGAUGUCUAGCGGGUGUGAGAGCACGACCCGCGCCACUGGCACUGUGACACUGGCCAGACUCCUACGGGAGGCUGCAGUCGAGGAUCUUCGGCAAUGGGCGAAAGCCUGACCGAGCGACGCCGCGUGUGCGAUGAAGGCCUUCGGGUUGUAAAGCACUGUCGAGGGGGAUAAAGCCGUAAGGUUGAUAGAUCCCUGGAGGAAGCACGGGCUAAGUUCGUG
rnacentral:rRNA from 1 species